UACGUAGGGUGCAAGCGUUGUCCGGAAUUAUUGGGCGUAAAGAGCUCGUAGGCGGUUUGUUGCGUCGGCUGUGAAAUCCCGAGGCUCAACCUCGGGUCUGCAGUCGAUACGAGCAAACUAGAGUGUUGCAGGGGAGACUGGAAUUCCCGGUGUAGAGGUGAAAUUCGUAGAUAUCGGGAGGAACACCAGUGGCGAAGGCGGCGAUCUGGGAAGAUACUGACGCUGAGGUGCGAAAGCGUGGGGAGCAAACAGG
rnacentral:rRNA from 1 species